rnacentral:lncRNA from 1 species
UGCAAUUGACGCAAAACCUCCGAGUGAAUCUACAAUUUCUCAAAAGACUUCCAAAAAAAAGUCUGCUUAGGUACCUGCAAAUUCAAAUAAGAGGAAGAAAAAAGAUACAUCAUCUGACUCUGAAGAUGAAGAGGUAAAUAGUGAUGAGGAGAGUGACAACUAUGAAGAACAAUCUAGCGAGCGAGCUAGGUCUUCCGGCAGAGGUCAAGGAAAGGAUGUUGGCAAAGCUACAACAAGUAAAAAGGGCAGUGGCCAUGGAAGAAGUCGACCUCCAUCGGCAAAUAAAAGCUCUCAGCCUGAAGGAAAAGUAACGACAGGUAAAAGAGGAAGUCCCGGGAAAUCAUAAGAGUACAACUUUUUUGGUUAUGUUAAAAGCUUUCAAUAUCAUCAAAUGUAUCUUACUCUCCAUUUCCUCCUUAAUUACACUGCAAAAAGUGAAUCAUUUUCAUCAUUAUUUCCAUUAUACAUUCUGAAAUUUAGCAAGUGUAAAACAUUUGUGCUUUAAAUUUGUAAUCUGUAUUGACACAGAGCAUUAACCAGCAAGAUGGAAGUGUUUGUCCGAGUUUGUAUCCGCUCAACUCUAUAUCUAUGAUUGACAGAUAUUAACAGAUUACAAGGAUGAUUCCUUGGACAACAAAGUUGAUGUUCCUGUUAGGCACAAAGUUGAUUGUGUAACUAUAAUGUUUAACUAUCGCAAUUCACGUGAGGUUUAAUAUAUCAACUGUCAGAACUGUUAUGUAGCGUUGGAAAUUGAUAAUAUAUUAACAAACCUUCAUGGAAUGAACAAAGUAUCACAAAAACUGAGAUCUCAUAAAUACCAAACCAGGUAAAUGAACAUGGCGUUUUCCUUGGACAAUUUAGAGUACUAUUGGAAACAAUUGCAAAAAGAAUUUACGCUAAAAAACUAUUGGGCCGUGCUUAGCACAGGCAAUACCCCACUAGUAAUAAGAGAAGCUAGGAAAAAAUACAUAUCCUACUAGUUGUGUCUUCAAUCAAAUGUUACAGCAUAUUUGCAUCUCAUCAAAGAUCGGAGUUAUGCCAAUAGCAAAAUUGAAAAUAUUAGUUGUUGUGUCUUUUUAGCUUGUGCUCCAUUACAGCAUUGUGCCAUCUCUCUUUUUUUUGGUCAAAAUAAAAAAAAAAUUCAACCAAGUAUAGAAAUAUACACAGCUAACUCUUUUGGACUCAAGAGUUAGUUCUCAAAAAGAAUUACAGAACUCAACUAAAGCUCUACUCAAAACAUGUGGCUAUGCCAUGUUAUCAGUGUUUUAGCUUAUCACCUUCUAUGAAGGGUACAAGCUAAAGACCUCUUCAUAUAGUUGCAUUACAAGCCAAUCUAUGUAUGGGUAGUAAUUCAAACUAUCUAGUAUACUCUUCCAUUUAUAAUUUCUCUGCCCUAUAACAUGUAACUGUAUAACAAUGUCCUUCACCCUCUACCUAUGCUCUUACUUCUUUUGUUGAAAUCUUCUUGCGUUUUUCUCUGCCCAAAUAUGAUAGACAAUAGCUGCAAGAGAAAGCCUAGAAUAUUAGCUCUUGGCCUGUUAUUAAUACCCAAGACACUUCCUCCUGCCAAGUGCCAAUAUUCUUUCUUGCUCCCAACCAGCCUAGGAUAGAACUUCGCACCUGCUAUGAAUAGGGGUAUGCAAAUAGGAUAUGUGACAAGGUUUCCUCCAUGUCAGAUUCACACAGCACACACCAUUUAUCAACUUGUAUUCCCCGUCUCCCCAACUUGUCAACAGUGGAUAAUAUGUGCUGGAUUGCUAGCCAGAGAAUGAAUUAAUGCCCGAGAAAAAUACUUUGAACCAAAAAUGCUUUCUUCCAAUCUACUUUUUGAAACUGGGGGUGAAGAAUUGAUAUGAUUUCUUAAUACUGAACUUUCAUUGCACUACAAAACUAUUUAACAAUACUGUCACUAUGACUCACUAGCCAACUCUUUGCUUCUAAUAUCUUCAUAACUAGCCAGCAAGUGUGGUUAGGAAUGGGAAUUUAUAGUAAAUCUCUCUGUGUUAUAUAGAAGCAGUGUAUCUAUUUUACCCAUAGACUGUUUUUUUUCUAAGUAACAGCCUAGAGUAACUUGCAAAUAGCUGAUUUGUUCCACUUAUAGAAUUCUAGAAUAUUUAGUCCUCUAGUAGACCUAGGCAUGCACAGUUUUUUCCAAGCUACUAGAGCCUUUCUGGAAACCUCGUUAGUUCUUAUCCAUAGGAAAGUUGUGCGAACAUUGGUUAUCAUACUGAUGAUCUUUUUUGGCAGUAGAAAGAUUUGAGCCCAGUAAGUCUGCAUCUCAAAUAGUACACUUUUGAUCAGUUGCAGUAUCCCACUGUAAGACAAUAAUUUGGUAGACUAACAUCUGAUCUUUACAAUCAUCUUUUACACUAGAGGCAAGCAUUGGUGUAAUGUGAGUUUCCUAGAAGAUAAAGGUACUCCCAGGUAUCUAAAUGACAUUUUCCCAUCAGAAAAGCUCAUUUCCUGAAUGAUCUGGUAUUUUAAUUCACUAGACACUCCUGCUACAUAAAGUGAACUUUCGUCCAUAUUGGCUUUAAGCCCAGACACUUCAGAGAAGUGAUUAAAUGCAUGUAACAUUAACUGGAUAGGGAUCCUAUCUGCUCCGCAACAUAUUCACAAGUCAUCCGCAAAACAAAUGUGUACUAAAUCCAAAUCUGUGAUAUAAUUUUGGAAAUCAAUUAUUUCAACAGGAUGGACUGGUACCCCAUUGACUCUAUCAUCACAAUGUAGGAGUGCAUUGAAGUCUUCUAAUAUGAUCCAAGGGUCGUUUAUAGUUCCAUUUAGGCUCCUUAACUACUCUCAUAAUAAUUUCCUUUAAGUGUUAGAAUUUUACCCAUAUACAUAGGUUAUUUCACAAUUAAAUUGAGACAUUUUAUCCUCAAUGUGGCAGUGUAUCAGCUGGGCAAAGCUAAAGAGGAUAGUCACUGCAACUGAUGCUUUUUUCCAUCCCAUCCAAAUCCUUCCAUUAGGUGUAUGAGAGUAAUCAGUGUAGAAGUCUCAUUCCACUCCAAAUCUCACAGUAAUGUUUGCAACUUUAUAUUGUUUAACUCUUGUCUCAAGGCAUCCUAUUAAGUCAAUCUUAUUUUAAAGCAAAAAGGCCUUGAGUUCCUUUUGCUUAUGGGCUUAUUCAUAACUUUAAUGUUCCAAAAGCAGAAAAAUCAUGGGGGAUGUCUUUUAGAAAUUCUCUGACUUACUCUCCUUUCAGCUGCAUCCUCAUAUAUUCUCAGAGAUGAGUAUUGGUUUGGUCCCAACGAUACAUCUGAAUCACUUUCCAAGUUUGACUCAUGGUGAUCCAAGUCUGAUUCAUGUCGAUUCCUCUGAUCAUUCCCUUAAAACACUACUGCAUGUUUACCACAACGAUGCACCUGCACAUGAGUGGGAGCAUUAUGCUUUUCCUCAUCUUUUGAUGGUUCAUUGUAUUUGUCAUUGGGUACCACAAUAUCUUGCUUAACCUUCCACUCAUUCUUCUCCUGAGGUUGCUUUGUCUGCACCUUUUUUUGAGCUUUUGGUGGUCGUACGUACUCAUGUUGAUUUUCUUUUCCACAAUCUUCAAUAUAGUUACCAAACUGGACACAAUUCUGACAGAAUGUAGGCCUCCACUUGUAUUUUAUGUCUUGAUUCUAAAAGCUACCAUCUGAUUUUUCAACGGUCACCUUAUAUGGCAAUGGUUGAGUUAUGCCCAUCUCAAUAAGAAUCCUGGCAUACGAAAUCCGAUCACCUCUGGCAGGCAACUUAUCAGUACAUAUCGGCCGACCCAAAAUAGUUAGUAAGUCUACCCAAGUUCUCUUCAGUCCAACAUUGUAAAGGCAAUAUAGGGAAUGUCACACAAAGGGACAAAUUUCAAAGGUUCUUUGUCCGAUUUGAAAUCUGGUACCCAUUCCUUUAGUAUCAGCGACCUACUGUUGAAGGUAUAAGGCCCAUUUUGAAGUAAGAUGUGCUUAUCCUCCUCCGAUUCAAACUUGAAAAUUAAGUACCCAUCAUCAUGAAGGAGUACUCUCGGGGUUGAAACAAAAUGCCACACUCCAUACACAAACUGUAACAUCUCCUUAAAUACAGGUGUGCCUCCCAAAACAUAACUAAUUAACGCACAUCUCUAUUUCCUACUAUGUUCCUCCAUUUCUAUUUCAUUUAAUUUCACAACUUUAAUUUGAUUCCAUCUUUAAUAACUUGGGGGGAGGGGGGUGUCAAUUGCAUGCUUAGGUGGUGAGCUCGAUUAUUUUUAACCACAUCCAUCAUUGUAGGAUUUUCAUAUUUAGAGUUUACCUUUGUAGGGGUUGGCACAAGAUGUGUAGCUGAGAAAUUUAGUCAUCGAGCAGUGGUAUUAAUUGGUUCAUCCUUCUGUAUCGGUACCGGCGACUAGAUCUCUUGUUGCACACGGCUCGAACCUUCUGCCCCCAGCACCUAGUUAACCAGCUGCAAUGGAACCAGAGCUUGGGAAAUGCUUCGCAGUAGGGAGUGGAGCUUGAGUUGCCUGCCGUUUCCGGCGCAACAUAGUUGGGAG